UCCAUCCCAUAUUUCAGAAUUAAUUUUUGAUGUGCCCCAGUAGAUUUUCUUGAUUCUGUAUAAGCAUUUCAAAUUCAGUCUUUUUUCUCAAAGUCCCUCUUUCUUUCUUGAGGUCACUUUUUAUUUUUCCAGCAAUUUGUAAAUACUCUAACUAUGGUAAAUUCCUACCUUCAUUGAUUAAUUCUUGAUCACUUGCUUGAUUCAACUGAUCAUUCCCCCACCCUCCAGUUGUACAUAAUCAUGGCAAAAAUAUGCAUCGAUGUUGCUGCUGCUGCUGCUGCUGCUGCUGCUGCUGCUGUGUCUCACAUGCUUUCAUCUUGUCUCCACCACAUGAGUAAGACAGCUUUAAAGCUGUUUGUUAUGGACCUUUGUGCAUUUCAGAAAAAGCUAUCCACUCAGGACCCAGGCAGCCCAUCUUUUAAGGUGGAAAUGGUGCUGCAUGAGGCUGAGCGAAGAUGGAGAGAGGACAUGGCCACAUCAGCCUGAACUUCGGAUCCCACCCACUUCUGGUCCCUGAUUUUACAGCAAAGUAACGUGUUACAGCAAAGUAACACACCAUAGGUUUUAAACACAUUAAGAUUAUCCUUGUGUAGUGUUGGAAUACUUUUAACACUGGUACAGGGCUCUCACUCAUAAAGCUGGGGGCAAGAUGAAGGUAACAUCCUGGGAAUAUGGCUGAAAGAAGUUCAAACAGAUUGGCAAUCUUUGAAGUAUGAUUACGUGCAUGUGAAGACAGAUCUUACAGAUCUUGCAACGCCGGGAUGUGGGAAAAGAGAUGGGGCUUUAUGCCAAUCAGCUGCAUUAAUUAUUACUCCCAUCCCCACCCAACUAUCCUUUGGGGAAGCUAAUGGAAGUGCGAGCCGUUUAAGCACACACAGUUAGGAUCCUGACUGAUGAAUAGCUUGUACUGUUGCACCGGGGCAGCAACAGGUUUCCACUAUUUGCUUUUCUCACCUACUGCCAUAGGUUACUUUCCCUCUUUAUUUCGGGGACAGAGCUACAAAUGAGGUUCCGCAUACCAGGAGAUUGCUUUUGCAAAUCACUGAAGGAUAACUGGGCUAUUCAAAAAAAUACUACAGUCCUAUGCACAAGUCUCUCGGAAGAGCUCCCGAAGAAUCCAAGGAUACUUUCUUCCGGAAUCCACAGGGUUGGGAUCGUAUCGUGAAGGUGGUGUUUGAAAGGGCGGCGCCAGGCGCGAUCCAUCACGAGGAUAAACAAAGGAUCCUCCUCACGCCGAGCAACGUGCCACAAGGCCGCGCAUGGCGAUGCUCGGGCGCUCUUCGCGGCUGGGAAGCAGCAGCAGCCAUCUCAAAACAAAGGACUUCCUUCUAUGAGGGCGGUUGCAGAAUCCGAGCAUCCGACGCCAAGUCAGCCUCCAAGCUGGCGCCGCGGCCCGUCGAUCUGCACGCGCGGCUUGCCUCGUUUCGGUGGAGCGCGCGCCCUGGCACUCGCUCCUGCAACAUUCACACACGCGCGCACCGUCACACUCGCGCGGAUUUCUCCGGACGGAAGCACAGGGCGAUCCCGCUUCCCCGCCACGCGAGCAAGCUAGCGAGCUGCAGGCGGCGCGGAGACGCUCUCAGCUCCGGAGCGUGGCGAGCGGGAAGCCUUCUGCAGACUGGCCGGCUUAAUCCUGCGACCCGCGGCUAAACCAGGGAUGUUUCCCGCAGGGGCCCGCGACUCGGCGGCGGCGCUGCGUUGCAAUGGGCGGGCAGGCGCAUCCCUUGCAGCACUGGAUUGAAGGCGGAAAUGGGGAGCUUUUGCGCUCUCGAGCAGGGGGCGGCCGCACGUUAGCCUGAAAUUGGCUCCGAUCGUUCCAGCUGGACGGGAGAUCCGCCUUCUCGAGGUGGACGGGAUGCCUGACUGACAGCCUGGCCCAAGGUGGUGAAAAGGUAGCCAAUGACCCCCUAAGAAACAACAGAACUCUUUGAAGCUGAAGGAAGUCUUGCAGUCACAACAAAAUGUCCUGAAAGAAUUUUACAGUAUUGCAGCUAAUUAAUUCCACUGAAACAGUUUUGGAAUGCCUACAUUUGACACCCACUGGCAGACAAACAUAAUCAUAAUAAUACAAAAGACCACAUUCUCAAACACUUUGAAGAAGGAAUACGAAGCAUGCCAUCCAUCACAAGAAAUUCAGGUGAGAACGGGAGCGUCAACGAGGUGAAGAAGCGCUGCCCGGAGACUGAGCCGCCGCAGCAGGUAGCGUCUCCGGAAGAAGCUGCUUGCGAGGGAGAGGCUGCGGGGAGCAGCGGCGAGCAGCCCGUCGCGAUGGAGCCGAGCGCUGCGACAGAGGAAGCGGACGGCGGCGGGCCAAACGC